rnacentral:rRNA from 1 species
UAGUCCACGCCGUAAACGAUGUCUACUUGGAGGUUGGAGUCUUGAAUUCUGGCUUUCGGAGCUAACGCGUUAAGUAGACCGCCUGGGGAGUACGGUCGCAAGAUUAAAACUCAAAUGAAUUGACGGGGCCCGCACAAGCGGUGGAGCAUGUGGUUUAAUUCGAUGCAACGCGAAGAACCUUACCUACUCUUGACAUCUACAGAAGCCAGCGGAGACGCAGGUGUGCCUUCGGGAACUGUAAGACAGGUGCUGCAUGGCUGUCGUCAGCUCGUGUUGUGAAAUGUUGGGUUAAGUCCCGCAACGAGCGCAACCCUUAUCCUUGUUUGCCAGCACAUAAUGGUGGGAACUCCAGGGAGACUGCCGGUGAUAAACCGGGAGGAAGGGUGGGGACGACGUCAAGUCGAUCAUGGCCCUUACGAGUAGGGGCUACACACGUGCUACAAUGGCGCAUACA